rnacentral:misc_RNA from 1 species
CCACUUUCUUGUUGCUGAACUUCAGUUUGCUGGCUGCUAGUGUUAUCACCUCCCAAUACUACUUGGCCAUCAUUAGAUGGAGGGCCAUUAGAUGGUUGACUCUCUAGUGCUCCUGAAUGAUGGGACUGCCUUUCAGCAUGACCACUGACUGGAGUGAGACUGCGCAAGUGAGACAGGAAGGUUUCCUCUAUUGCUUGUGCAAUUACAGCACCCUGGGUACUUGCCUGUGGCUGACCAUCAUCAGUCCACCGACCAUCCCCUG